rnacentral:pre_miRNA from 1 species
UAGUCUGCAAUCGACUUUAGGUAUUCUUUUACCGAAUCUGAAGACGGAAGCAGACUUAG